rnacentral:rRNA from 1 species
AUGCAAGUCGAGGGGUAUAGUUCUUCGGAGCUAGAGACCGGCGCACGGGUGCGUAACGCGUAUGCAAUCUACCUUUUACAGAGGGAUAGCCCAGAGAAAUUUGGAUUAAUACCUCAUAGUAUGUGAGAAUCGCAUGGUUUUCACAUUAAAGUCACAACGGUAAAAGAUGAGCAUGCGUCCCAUUAGCUAGAUGGUAAGGUAACGGCUUACCAUGGCAACGAUGGGUAGGGGUCCUGAGAGGGAGAUCCCCCACACUGGUACUGAGACACGGACCAGACUCCUACGGGAGGCAGCAGUGAGGAAUAUUGGACAAUGGGCGCAAGCCUGAUCCAGCCAUGCCGCGUGCAGGAUGACGGUCCUAUGGAUUGUAAACUGCUUUUGUACAGGAAGAAACACUCCCUCGUGAGGGAGCUUGACGGUACUGUAAGAAUAAGGAUCGGCUAACUCCGUGCCAGCAGCCGCGGUAAUACGGAGGAUCCAAGCGUUAUCCGGAAUCAUUGGGUUUAAAGGGUCCGUAGGCGGUUUAAUAAGUCAGUGGUGAAAGCCCAUCGCUCAACGGUGGAACGGCCAUUGAUACUGUUAAACUUGAAUUAUUAGGAAGUAACUAGAAUAUGUAGUGUAGCGGUGAAAUGCUUAGAGAUUACAUGGAAUACCAAUUGCGAAGGCAGGUUACUACUAAUGGAUUGACGCUGAUGGACGAAAGCGUGGGUAGCGAACAGGAUUAGAUACCCUGGUAGUCCACGCCGUAAACGAUGGAUACUAGCUGUUGGGAGCAAUCUCAGUGGCUAAGCGAAAGUGAUAAGUAUCCCACCUGGGGAGUACGUUCGCAAGAAUGAAACUCAAAGGAAUUGACGGGGGCCCGCACAAGCGGUGGAGCAUGUGGUUUAAUUCGAUGAUACGCGAGGAACCUUACCAGGCUUAAAUGUAGUUUGACCGAUUUGGAAACAGAUCUUU